UGGACUGCAGUAAUCUUCAGAAUCGUACGACUGACAUCGUCAAAGAAGGGAUGUCAAAGGGCAGUUCGUCUGAUGGGGGGUGGAAAGAGCUACACAGAGAGCCGGCCUAGGGGAUCCAUCGUCCUGUAAACGGUUCUGCAAGCACCAUCCUUACGAUAAAUCAAGGAAUGGCCUUUGAAUGGCCUUCUCUCUUUUCUUUCCUCUUCUUUAAUGCUCGCUUUUUCUUCUCCUCCCUUCUUUCCUGCACAGGCAGGCGAGCUCGAAAGCGAUCCCCGGCGUGCCCUGCAAAGGAGCAGUGCACUCGGCGUCUGCGCGGAUUCUUGGCCCAGAGACGGCGCCCUCUUCAGAGCGGUGGGAGGAAGACGAUGGAGGUCGUUGUGGGGCCCUGCACACGCAGGCGAGAGGUGAUUAAAGAAAAGGUCCAAAGCGGACGAGGAUGCCCUGCUGCCCAUGCCCCUCCCCGCCCUCCGCAUUAAUAAUGGCUUCAUGAUUCGAUCUGGGGGGCCGGAAAACCACAAGCCUCCGUCUUCCUACCGAGUGCUCCGCCGCCGGCUCCGAUCACCACAGUGAUCUCCUAGGGGUUGGCUUUCCGGCCGGGAAUCCUCCCAGUGGAGACGACCAACUGACUUCCGAAACAAUAGUAAAACGUAUGAGGCCACAAGUUUCACUAUCAAUAAGUUUAACCAUUAAGGAUAUGAUUUGAUUUCAUAAUUACUGCAUGUAAUAUUACUUGUUGAUUUUGUGCAGAAACAAUUAAUAUUGAAAACAAAAUAAAGUAUACAAUAGAGCUUUGGUAUUAUCUUGAAAAAAUGAAUCAUUAAAGUUAUAAUAGGGUCAUGUUGAGAUAUAAGCUUAUAAAUUUUCACCUAAAGUUUAAUCAUAUAAUUUAAUGUAAAUUUAUUUCAUAUUGCGAUCUAACAUGUAUUCUUUAUUUUUAGGACUUUGCAUGUAGACCAUAAAUUGGGGAAAAUAACAAAGGAGGAAACAUAGAAUCAUGUUAUCACAUGAAAUAACUGAAAUAACAUAUUAAAACUCACUUGAGAAUGAAUAAUUCAGGCUGAUUUAACUUAUUUUAAAAAAUCAGUUUCUUCUCCAGAUGUGAGUCUGUAGUAAUAUUUUGAUUAUUGCUAUUUAUGGAUAUAUUGGACUUUAUAAUUGAAAAUAUGACUACUUUUUCCUAGAACUUAGAAAAUUAUUACAGUAUUUUUUCACACUACUCGUAAUCUAUUUUGAUAGAAUCUGAUUAACCACUUUUUGAUCAAAGUCAAAAUUCAUUAUCCAUUCUACUUUCAUAAAAAAAAACUCAUAUAAUUUUUGUGGAUUUAUAUCUAUUUGUUGCACGUAUUAUUCUCAUAAUUGGUUAGCAACUAGGGAUAAAGGAAUUACAAAGUAAACAACUUUGUCUACAUAUCCAAGAUUAAUCAAAGAUUAGAAAAAAGACUUUAUGGCAAACAACAAGCUACGACCCUAUCCUUAUACCAUCUUAAAAGCACAUGUGGAUGAAUAGACAUAUGGAACCCAACCAUGAUUGAUGAGGUUGGGAGUUGUGAAAUUAUCAUGAGCAUUGAAACUCUCUCUCAAGUGGACGGGAGAGUGACAAAGAGGGGAUGGAGCCUUAAUUCCCUUAUUGCAGAAGGGGAAGGUUAUAUCAAGCAGCAAAAAAAGGGCACAUAUGAAUGAAAAUAAACAAUAAUUCAAAGAUAUUUGAUUUUACCAAUUAUUGCAUCAAAACCAAUUGAUGUGGCUAGGUUAGUUGUAUUUUGUUACACUAAUUAAACUUAUUCUGCAUGUAUUUGUAUGCGGAAAAAUGCCUUUAUCUAAUGAACAAGUUUGCCACAUAGAUAUAGGCAAUAUUAGAUGAGGACUAAUAACAAGCCUCCAUUUUUUUUUGUUAGUACUUGAAAUGUUCAAGGUUGAAAUAAUUAUAAUCAUCUAAUAUAGUAGGUUUGAAAUAACACCUUAGUAACAUGUUUGAAAUUAAGGAUAUAAACUUCAUCUAAGUUAAAUGUGACAACAUAUAUGAAUAUCUAUUUAUAAAUCUUUUCAAAGGAGUCAAAUUUCAUAGACACCCUUUGGGAGGUCGAUUUGGGAUUCACAUUAGCCACAACAACAUUGUGUAUUAAUAAAUAUGCAUCGUGAAUUCCUAUGCUAUAUCCUCUCCAAAUUGGGAUUAUAUUGGGCAACUUGGUAGAUCCAUGAAAAUCAGUUGAAUUUAAAUAAAAAAUAGAGAGAAUAUGUUGAAUAUUGUGAAUUUUAAGUAUAUAUUAUAUCUAUCAAAUAAGGAUAUAAUUAAAAUAAUACAAUAUAAAUGUUGACUUUAAAUUUUCAUAAUUCUCCAAUUUAUAUAGUAUGAAAUUUAAGAUUGAUGAGAAGGGAACUUAAAAUCUCACUUAUUGAUGAUGGUUAGAGAAGUCACUGAUCAAUAAUAGAGUCAAUAUAACAAUCCUCGCAACAUUGAAUCUUGACUUCCUACCAUCACGUGACAUAGUAGACUCUUCAAAACCAUCUAGUUCCAAAGCAUCAUUUAAUAAUAAAAAGUCAAUAUAAUGAUAGUAUCCAUUGGCUUCUAAUUCUUCUCAUGGUCAAUAAAGAGAAAGUAGAGUUACCAUAUAAAUUUGUUACCUUAUGUAGAUUUAUAAACACGUACACACAUGCAUGCGCUCAUAUAAUUUAUUUUAGAACCAUGAUUUCGAUUUCCCUUCACCAUAAUUACUACAUUCAUUUUGGAGGGCAUAAAGAUCAUUUAAAAUAUUUAAGAGGAAAAUAGACACAAUAUAAUUAAUUGGUAGCAAUUUUAAUAUGAGCAUAUUGAGUUGGUUUCUAUCAUUUAAAUUUUAAUGAAUCAAAAAAUGUAUUUGGAGCAAUCCAGGCACACUCAUCCCUUUUUUCAGGCAAUGUAAUUGGACUAAAACAUCACUAAAGAUUAACAUUGGAAGGCAUGAUAAACAUAAAAAGCUUACUUGUCAUCAAACGAUCACAAGGGCCUACAUUUAAAAUUAGAUUUUUUUAAAAUCCCAAUAUUUUUUUACUAAAAUUACAUAUCGUGACGUCAUAGAUCAGAGAGGAAAAGAAGUAUAUAAAAUUACAAUGUCAAAAAUUAGUGAAUGAUUUUGGAGGGUUAAAGACCCAUACACUAUAUUUGUAGGAUUAUUCUUAUUCAAUAUUAUCAUAGUGGCAUGACAUUCAAAACACAAAAUGACUCCUAAAUCGAAUAAUUCUUGAUUAUAAUAUCAAGUUGUGGUGCAAUAAUUAUGGUUAAGUUAUCGACGACAAGACGUGGCCUAACAAGUGGAGGGAGAACGCAAUAAAUCGAAGAUAGAAGGAAAGAAAAGAAGAGGAUAUGAAGGAGCCCGUGAGCAGACCCAACUUGAGGAGGCCUGUUUCAUUUGGUCAAAGCCCCUCCCCAAGUCUUACCAUCCGUCAUCAGAAACCGACAUUCAACUGCUGCGUCGGCAAGGUGUCCAGUCCUCCCCGGCGGGCCGGCAGCCUCUGGAGGCGCACAACUCCCUGUUUGUCCUCACAUAAAGAAGGGUGGGCGGAGUCACCAUCUCCUCGCGGGUCUCUGGACGGCGAGGGCCGCCUGCCUAGCUCAGCGUCUCCCUCCGGGCGACCUGCAGCCGUCCACCUUUCACCCGCUGGUUGUCCUUGCAUUAAUCUCCUCCGCCGGCCCACCGAGCGUUGCUCCCGCUGCCGGAAACCGCUGCCCGUCCCGUCCUACAGCUGCGGCUGCCGUUCUUAAUUGUUUGCGAGAGCGAGAGAGAGAGAGAGAGAGAGAGAGAGAGAGAGAGAAAGAGAGGAAAGGGCAUUUGAUGAUGACGCGAGG
rnacentral:lncRNA from 1 species